ACAUUAUAAACCCAUGACCAUUCCCUAAAUUAACCGAUGUGGGACUUUCAUCAUCCAACACGGUGAAACCAUAAUUUUUCGAUUCUCUGUCCUAUAUCCAAUGUUACAAAACAGCAAACCACUUUGAAUAAUGUCUCACAAAGUGGUAACUAAACACUUUGUUCUUCUAAUAAGCUGAUAUGUUACUGACACUAAUUUGAUGCAGUUUGAGUCACUGUUUUUGUGUGUAUGUGAGUAGCUCUUUCUCCCUUUUUACUUUAAGCUUUCAUGUGUCAAUAGACACAACAUGUUUGUAUUUUUCUGUGAGGGUAGGGGGCUUUGGGAUUUUAGCUGUGAGCUGUGGGCUUCUUGUAGACCCUUAAGAAGGAGAUGUUUGGUUUAUCGCAGUAAUGAGUUGAGUCUAAGACGUCCAAGGUUGAGAACCUUGGGCUUUAUUUGGCGAUGUUUGAUUUAUGGCAGUGACAAGUCGAGUUUAAGACAUCCAAGGUUGAGAACCUUAGGCUUGUAUUCGGAGAUAUUUGGUUUAUGGCAGUAACAAAUCGAGUCUAAGAAGUCUAAGGUUGAGAACCUUAGGCUUGUAUGUGUAGAUGUUUGGUUUAUGGCAGUAACAAGUCGAGUCUAAGAAGUCCAAGGUUGAGAACCUUAGGUUUGUGUGUGUAGAUGUUUGGUUUAUGGCAGUAACAAGGUCUAAGACGUCCAAGGUUGAGAACCUUAGGCUUGUAUUUGGAGAUGUUUGGUUUAUGACAGUGACAAGUCGAGUCUAAGACGUCCAAGGUUGAGAACCUUCAGCUUGUAUUUGGAUUGUGAGUUCUUUAUGUUUUGUAAAAGUAAGAGAAAGUGGGUCUCAUCAAAUGGGGUUUAAUUUGAGCUUAUAUGCGCUUAGGACAAGCAUACCAAUAACUUGGGAUAGGGAAAUCACCAGAUUAUAUACUAUCCGAAAGGGUGAGAUCGGUGCAGUUGUUGAAAUUAGUACCGUUAAUCCAAACACUUUUCAUAAAUCAAGUGUUCCAUCCAGGUUUACCUUUAAAGUGGUUAACAGUGCUUUUAAUUUUAGGUAAUAUCUGGCAAAAAGUGUUACUUUUAGGAUAGUGGAGAAUGUUUUAAAGCUAAUUAUCCAUAAAGUUCCUUAAAAGUGUUUUUGGAUGCUUUUCUCAAAAGUAUUUAUAAAAAGGUAUUUCACUCCAAAGUUGUUCUCAAAAGUCAUUCCAAAACUUACUCUUAUCUGAAUUAUUACAAGGAUACAAAUGUCGAUGAUGUCAUCAAUAUCGAGAUUUCAUUUUUGCAAAGUUAUCGAUGCAAAUUUCUAUAAAUAAAAUAAAAAAACCUAUUCAAACUAAGUUAUAGAUCUUGCUCAUAGUAUUUAUAUUUAUGUUGGGGUUAAUCGAUGAUAUCUUUUUAUGUUUUAUGAGUAUUUAUAAACAAUAUUGGAAGAUAUCUAUUCUUAAACCUCAAUGUCCACGUCGAACCCUCCAAUUUACGGAUAUAUUGAUGAACAUUUUCAUCCUUGAAUGAUUGUUAUUUUAGCUAGGUACAAUGAUUUUACCACAUUUAGAUAGAUGAAAACCAUAGUAAUGGGACAUUGAAUUUCGGUUCAAAGUUGAAGACCCUUUAGUUACUAAACCUUCAUCUCCUUCUCGUAACACUUUGCAUC